AACGCGAAGAACCUUACCUGGGCUUGAACCGCCGGUGACCAGCGGUAGAAACAUCGCCUUCUCGCAAGAGACACCGGUAGAGGUGCUGCAUGGCUGUCGUCAGCUCGUGCCGUGAGGUGUUGGGUUAAGUCCCGCAACGAGCGCAACCCUUACUCUUAGUUGCCACCCGCAAGGGGGAACUCUAAGAGGACUGCUCCGGAUAACGGAGAGGAAGGUGGGGAUGACGUCAAGUCAGCACGGCCUUUAUGUCCAGGGCUACACACGUGUUACAAUGCAUGGUACAGACCGUCGCAAACCCGCGAGGGGGAGCUAAUCGGACAAAACCAUGCUCAGUUCAGAUUGCAGUCUGCAACUCGACUGCAUGAAGCUGGAAUCGCUAGUAAUGCCGUAUCAGAACGACGGCGUGAAUACGUUCCCGGGCCUUGUACACACCGCGCAUA
rnacentral:rRNA from 1 species